rnacentral:rRNA from 1 species
GACGAACGCUGGCGGCGUGCUUAACACAUGCAAGUCGAACGGUGAAGGGAUCAGCUUGCUGGUUCUGGAUGAGUGGCGAACGGGUGAGUAACACGUGAGUAACCUGCCCCCUUCUUCUGGAUAACCGCAUGAAAGUGUGGCUAAUACGGGAUAUUCUGGGUCUGUCGCAUGAUGGGUCUGGGAAAGAUAUUGUUUCGGUGGGGGAUGGGCUCGCGGCCUAUCAGCUUGUUGGUGGGGUGAUGGCCUACCAAGGCGGUGACGGGUAGCCGGCCUGAGAGGGUGGACGGUCACACUGGGACUGAGACACGGCCCAGACUCAUACGGGAGGAAGCAGUGGGGAAUAUUGCACAAUGGGCGCAAGCCUGAUGCAGCGACGCCGCGUGAGGGAGGGAGGCCUUCGGGUUGUAAACCUCUUUCGCCAGUGAAGCAGGCCUGCUCCUUGUGGGUGGGUUGACGGUAGCUGGAUAAGAAGCGCCGGCUAACUACGUG